AGAGACCGAUAGGUUGGAUGUGGAGAAGUCAUUUUUUUUUUUUUUCUUUUUUGGUUUUUUUUUUUUCCUCUUUCUCCUUU
rnacentral:ribozyme from 13 species